rnacentral:lncRNA from 10 species
AGUGAGGCAGGCACUUGCUUGCAGAAGAACAGGCCUAGUUUUUUAAGAAGCCACAAAAGUGUCUUUGGAUGAUUAGGAUCUAAGGGGCCAACAGCUUUGCAAUAACAGCAUAAAUAUUGUGGGCUGGAUGGACAGGCACCAAAUGGGGACAUUCCAUCCUGCUGUGUGAUGAGAAAGCUGCCACUUUUGAGGCCUUCCAAAACAAAUCAACACUCCAUAUGCCAGAAGGAAAAGCCCAGGAAAGACCUAUUCCAACUGGAGAUGGUGAAUGUCAUUUCUUCAAGAAGCUGAGAUCCAGCUGGUACUGCCAGGUGGAGAGUGAGUUGGGUAGCUGACCUCGGGCAUGGCAGCCUUGGUUUUUGGCCACUUCAUGGGGUGACCUGUUGAGCAAACAGCAGUGGAAUUCUGCAGCUGUGGACCAAGAUAUUGCUGUGUUCUUGUUUCUAGGAAUACGAAGGGAGAAUGAAACAAAACUGCUCCGCUUAGGGAACUUGGAAAGGAAAUUGAAAAGGCAAGGCACAGGCUGGAAGAAAAUAUUUGAAAAAGAUUUAUGUGAACUUCUUUCUGGAUUAUACAAAAUAUUUUUAGAUAUUCUUACAACUCUAAAAUAAGAUAACUCCUUAAAAAUCUAAAUUCUACCAAAGGAGAGAUAAAGAUGACGA